AGGGACAUCGUCAUGCUGGAAUAUUUCAUGCUCCUGCAUCCAAAGCCGUCCGGUACACUUAAGUGUCUAACAUUUUAAGGAACAACUUCAUCUGGUUCUUCUGAAAAAGAUCUAAAAACUGAAAAUGUGAAACAAAAAUUACUGCAAUCUUGAAGUUAGAGAUUUUUCUUUUUUCUUUCCCCUGAAUUACGUUCUUGUUCUUAUAAACACGUCUGCUCAGCUUCUUUCUUUCUUUCUUUGUCCUUUUUCUCAGAUCUAACUUUAAACCACAUUAAUAAUGUAAUUAAUAACAGAAAGUCCAGAAAGCUACAAUAAAAACCUCUCCAGUGACUCGGCAUGACGAGGAACAUUAUCACCGCUGAGCAGCUCGAGAUGUUCCAGCACUCAGAGGUCCAUUAAUCAUCUGAUAGAAUUAUUGUUCUAUUGUAUUUAAAUAUACAAAGAGCUGAAAACACUCAUGAGUACCGUCUUUAUAACAGGAACAUCUUUAACAUACAGUAGAAAUCAAAAAGAAAUGUCAAUGCUAAUUCUGAUCAGCGUCCCAGUGUGCUGAACAUCUGCUAGAAAAUUCCCAUCUUUCGGACACUUCCGUUUCGUUUCCGCGUUUCCUGCGUCACCGUUUCUGGUCUUUAACUAACAACUUAACACCUAUUGUUGAUGUUUUCGCCUCUCAAUCCUGGUGUCUGAUUGGUCGGAAAGUGUUUAUCGAACAAUGGCGCAGGUUUUUAUUAAUGUGUUUUUCUGAUCCAUUGUUUCUAUAGCAACAGCUGUUUCAUGGGAAAAGCUAUGCUUUACUGAAGGAAUUUGAAAUGUCUGUAAUAUUCAGGAUACGUCAGAUAUUCAUGGAAGGAAUCUCCAGUGUCUGCUGUGACUUAUUUCCAGACUUUCGCUCAGGUUUCUCGUUAUUAUAUUAAAGUUACGUUUAUUAUUGUUUAGCUUUAAUCAUUUAUCGAUUUAGUUUGAAUAAAGGUGCUUUUUACUUGUCACAUGUACUUUUUUAUAUUUUUACAGCAUAGUCAAAUUUACAUAUAGCAUACGGUCAGCCAUAAUACAGCGCCCCCUGGAGCACAGAGGGUUAGGGGCCUUGCUCAGGGGCCCCAAGAGUUGCAGCUUGGUGAUACUGAUGUUUAAACCCCCAAUCUUUCGAUCUGUAAAUCAGAACCUCAAUUUAACACCUCCCAAUAGAAGGGAAGGACUAUUUAUAGCUGCUAUAAGAUUCCACCCCAGGAACCCUAAGAGUAAGAUUGAGGUUGGAAUACACCCUGGAUGCAAUCACACCUUACUUAGACACACAUCCAGGCCUUUUGUGGGAUAGGAGGAAACUGGAGAACAUGGAGGAAGUCUGCACAGACUUUGUAGAACAUAAUAUCAUCAAAAGGUUCUGGGAAUCUGGAGAAAAAUCUGUGCACAACAGACGAGAGUGAAAAUCAAUAUGGGAUGGUCGUGAUCUUCGGCCCUCAGGCAGCUCCGCGUUUAAAACAUUCAUGAUUCUGUAAUGGAGAAUCACUGCAUGGACUCAUCAACACCUCCAGAAAUCGUUGUCUGUGAACGCAGUUUGAACAUUUUGUCAUCCACAAAUGCAGGUUAAAUUUCUAUCAUGUAAAAAGAAGGCAUGCGUGAACAUGCUCCAUAAUCCAUCCUUUCUGCGCCAAAGCUCAUUUAAAAUGUACUUCGGCAAAGUGGACAAUAGUAGAAGAGUCCCGGUGCUGAACUGGUCUACCUGCAGUCUAGAACUUUCACCAUUUUAAAACAUUACAUACAACAUGAAACAAAAAACACAACAAAGGAAACCCAGAACUGUUGAGCUGCAAGAAUCCUGUAUCGGACACAUAUGGAAUAACAUUUCUUUCCCAAAACUUCCGAAAAUGAUCUCCUCAGUUCCCAGAUGUACAGCAUUUGAACAGAAGACGUGAUGCUUCACACUUUUUUUGGAAUUGGACUUUGUAUUAGGACACCUAACAUUUCCAGUCAUAUGUGCUUCUUUUCCAUUCACUUGAACUAGGAGACUCGAACUUGAACCAAAAUGACAAUUAUACACAAAGCCAGCUCCAUAAAGAUCUGCUUUCCAUGAAAGAUCUCCUGUUAUAAACCCUGAACACCUAUGGGAUGAAUGUGAACACUGACUGAACUUCAGGCCUUCUCACCUUCUCACCUACAUCAAUACAUAACUUUACUAACAUCCAUGUGGCUGAAUGAAUCUCCACAAAAUCCAGUGGAACAUCUAGUGUAGCACAUAGCAAUCUAAUGAUCAGGUGUCUAUAAACUUUUUGCUAGAUAAUGUAGCUAAAAUGAAUGCUUUCUCGACCAAUCAGAAUCUAGUAUCUGGAUGUAUUCCGUUUUGAAGACAAUGAAACGUGACUUCUUUGUGAAGAGUCACACGCUAGUCGAUGACUUUCCCUCUGAGGAUACACACGUGCUGCGUUCAGGGUCAGCGCUUUGUAGUGAUUCGACAUGCAAUCAAUGCAGCGUGUGUGUGUGUGUGUGUGUGUGUGUGUGUGUGUGUGUGUGUGUGUGAGCAUGUUCUUGUAGUGAAAUUUUGUUUGUGCUUGAAAGCAUGUGUUGCUUUGUUCAUAGGGUCAAUACGUGUCGUCGUGUGCAGGGUGUAAAUGAACAAAUCGAUCUAUAACUAUGGAUAUGACACACACACACUGACACCCACUAUGACUCACACACACACACACACACACACACACACACACAGAGUGAAGGUGAAACUGUGAGUAGUGUUCCUGUAACAAAUGUCCUUGAUGCCGUGUUCCAUAAACACAAGUGUGCGAACCUUUAAGAUAAGAAACACUUUCACGAAUAGAUCAUUUUAUUUUUAUUUGAUGUUUUUAUUUUAUUUAUUCUGUUCUGACGUGUGACUCAUCACCAUCAAGCUCAACUUUUUUGACUCAGAGCAGAAGCAACAGCAAAAGGCUCAUCCUGUCACUAUAUGGGAGGGGAAUGCACCACCCCUGAUACCCCUCGUGCCCCUUCUACCCCUAAUACCUCUAAUACCCC